UCCCUUAUCUAAGCACGUUGUUCAACACCAAAGAAGCUUCUGCAUAAAUAAUUGGCGAAAUAAUUGGCUCCGCGCGUAAUUAGGCGGAAUUCAUGGAAUCCCUUCCAAGAUGACAACGCAGGCGAGGCCAAAAGUCAAAUACCGGGCCAAAUGCAGUGAGCCAAAAAUAAUGAACUCCAAAAUGAAGUGAAACAAAAAGAAAACACAGCUUUAAUUAUUCAUAUUUCAUUAGUGAGCAGAAGCAGAAGAGCAGGUGAAUGCGAUGGCGAUGGCAAAGGCGUGUGCCAUAUAAAAUUUAUAAAAAUCAAAGUAAGCUCUGGAAGCACAAGAGAGCGGAAUUCUCGCAGACCUCAAUUGGAAUACACUUUUUUGGUGCUCCAAAAAUCUCAUCCAGCCAAAUUCCAACUGGAAUGCGUACCAAUUCAGUGGAAUUUCAUUGAAAGUGAUUUCUGGAACAACAUGCACUAUUUUCUAAGGAGAUUUGGCCAAUAAACACCCCAUAAAUAUAGGGCUCAAAAGGACAUAUGUAUUAACCACGUGGCAAGUAUCUGGCCAAAAGAAAAGAAACCCUUGCAAGAGUACAAAAUGGAGAACGAGGAGCUGGAGGUCAGCUUUGAGUAAAACAAAAGGGAAAUGUCGGAAUGGAAUCUGGAUACACAUCAUCAUUUGUCUUGGCGUGGAGACGGAAGAGGCGACGAAGUGCGGCCGGGGCACAUUGAUGAAUGAAGUGCGUAGUGGCUGAAAGGCCAAAAGGCAGGCCGCAUUAAAAAUGCACACGCAAUCAGAAAAUGCUUCACGACGGCCUCAUAAACUGAGGACCCGGAGUGGGGAUUCCGGACUUGGGACUCCCGACACCAUGGGCCGCCAGGUGAUGGAUCAGCGGCCUCAGAUAAGACAGGCGGAGAAGGACAAGGAGCGGGAGCAGGAGCAGGUUCCAAAGCUGGAGCUGAGCCCGGAGCUGGGGUAAUGAGUGAGUUGAAGUGGGACUGGCCUGCUGCUGCCCCGUCAAAUGUUCGGCCUUUCAAGGCAAUUACCCCGCUCUGCGGACACCCGAAUCUGGGACCUGGGACCUGGCUUUACCUUUGGCAGCAACACCUUCGAAGCAUUUCGGCUUGACUGGCUGCGAACUUUGGCACCCCACCAUCGCCAGGGUUCGAGAAAGAGGUUCGGGUUCGCUUACUGGGUCAACGCGCUGGCCAUCCGCCUUCAUGACUCUGUGAUUUAUUAUGGAAUCGACGAGGAUGUUUUCUUUGACGUAGCACGUUCAUUCGGCAGGGAUGCAUGCGUGCACUCAGCAAAAAAUCAAAUAGGAACCGCACAGCCACGACAAGAUGACGACGACAACGACGACGAAAUAGACGACGACAUAGACGAUGGCCAACGGCACUGGCUGGGAAACGGAAAGCUGAAGUAGGAACAGGAAUCAUGACCAAAUUAUGGCAAAUAUGAAAUACCCUUGCAAUCCCAAAAAUUACAGUAGUAACAUGGUUAUCAUAAACCGUUUAAAACCAAAGUAUUGAUGAAUUAACAAAUUUAAAUCCUAUAAAGUAUUAUUUAAGUGCCUAAAAAGGGUUAAGACAACUACAUACAAAUUGAAGAACUUCUGCGCUAGUUUCCAAACAAGGUAAAGAAGAGCUUUUCAUGAAGGAAAUUCGGCUUUUGUAUAAAUAGGUCGACGUAAAAGAAGGUGAGUUUGAUCAAUUACUUUUAUGCUGAUGGGUUAAAUCCAAGAACUUCUGUUUUUAAUCAACUUAAAUCUUCCCAAAUGAAACAAACAGCUUACUUUCCUCUUAAUGAAAAUUCAAAAACCUUUAGUUUUUUAAUACCUCUAAUGACAAAAUUUUGUAAGUUAUAUGUUACAGAUAUCACAAUCUUAUGUCUUGGUUACGGCAUCGGUUAUCAUCUGAAAGCUCUUUUGUGGUUCCGGUUUUAACCGAUUCCACUGGUUAGGAUCGCUUUGGGCCUCACUGCGUCGCAAGCUGCUGGUCAAAAGGAUAAUACCCAGCAGAGGAUACAAGAAACGGGGACAAGGACAUUGAUGUGGGAAUGGAAAGUGGCUGCCAUAAAAGGGAAACACAUUCCCAUUCGCAUUCGCAUACACAGACGGCAACAAACCGCAAAAUAACCAAAGACAUUUCUACAUCCGACACCAUCCCACACUACCUUCAACUUUCCAUCGCGUUUCCCACCCAGCUGGAUUUCCUUUUGUUACAUUUGGAUCUCACUCUGUGUUUUCAUUCUUUCAGCUCGUGGACAUAUGUAAAUAUGAGUGCAGCAGAGCAAUCAUAACAAAAAUGCUGCACACUCAAAUUAUCCCUAAAUAAUUUAGAUCUGUGCGGGCGAGCAACGCGCAAAAGGAGGCGGUUGGAGGUGGAUUAGAAGCGGGGGAGGAACCAACAUGAAAGCGGAAGCGGAAGUGCUUACCUCUACACACACACGCCCAUGGGAGUGCGGGCUUCCGGAGGCUGAAAUCCAGCACCUGGAAAAAAACAGCACAGUAUUUGUUAAUUAAAUGCAUUGAUUG